CAGUAGCCACGGUAAUACGUAGGGUGCGAGCGUUAAUCGAAUUACUGGGCGUAAAGCGUGCGCAGGCGGUUUUGUAAGACAGGCGUGAAAUCCCCGGGCUCAACCUGGGAAUGGCGCUUGUGACUGCAAAGCUAGAGUGCGGCAGAGGGGGAUGGAAUUCCGCGUGUAGCAGUGAAAUGCGUAGAUAUGCGGAGGAACACCGAUGGCGAAGGCAAUCCCCUGGGCCUGCACUGACGCUCAUGCACGAAAGCGUGGGGAGCAAACAGGAUUAGAUACCCGCGUAGUCCCUGUCUCUUAUACA
rnacentral:rRNA from 1 species